AACAAACAUAGCUCUUUUAGAAUUUUUCAGGCUUUCAGAUUUUGAUCAGAAAACCCAA
ensembl:snRNA LOC120100224 U7 small nuclear RNA